rnacentral:tmRNA from 1 species
GGGGGCGACAUGGCUUCGACGUGGGUCGCGAAACUCUGAGUGCAUGCCGAGGAACAGAAUACCUCGUUAAACCAUCUGUAAAAACUAUAGUUGCCAACGAAGACAACUACGCACUAGCUGCUUAAUAACCAGUAUAGCGCCUUCUGCCCGGUUAGCGCCUGUACGUCCGGAUAACAGGAGUCAUAAUUACAGGACCGUGAGUUUGGUGUGCUUAGGACUAAAUUUAUUAAACUUAACUAAGCUGGCAUCAGGUUUUCCUCUUCCAUUAGGUAGCUUGAUGUAAGAUUAAGAAUGGAAUAAGCAUGUAGACCUCAGUGCGGAGGGCUUGCGGACGCGGGUUCGAUUCCCGCCGCCUCCACCA